rnacentral:rRNA from 1 species
CCUACGGGAGGCAGCAGUGAGGAAUAUUGCGCAAUGGGGGCAACCCUGACGCAGCGACGCCGCGUGAGUGAGGAAGGCCUUCGGGUCGUAAAGCACUUUCAGCGAGGAGGAAAGGGUGUAAGUUAAUACCUUACAUCUGUGACGUUACUCGCAGAAGAAGCACCGGCUAACUCCGUGCCAGCAGCCGCGGUAAUACGGAGGGUGCGAGCGUUAAUCGGAAUUACUGGGCGUAAAGCGUGCGCAGGCGGUUUGUUAAGCGAGAUGUGAAAGCCCCGGGCUCAACCUGGGAACCGCAUUUCGAACUGGCAAACUAGAGUCUUGUAGAGGGGGGUAGAAUUCCAGGUGUAGCGGUGAAAUGCGUAGAGAUCUGGAGGAAUACCGGUGGCGAAGGCGGCCCCCUGGACAAAGACUGACGCUCAGGCACGAAAGCGUGGGGAGCAAACA